rnacentral:rRNA from 1 species
CCUACGGGUGGCUGCAGUGGGGAAUAUUGGACAAUGGGCGCAAGCCUGAUCCAGCCAUGCCGCGUGAGUGAUGAAGGCCCUAGGGUUGUAAAGCUCUUUCGCCAGGGACGAUAAUGACGGUACCUGGAUAAGAAGCCCCGGCUAACUUCGUGCCAGCAGCCGCGGUAAUACGAAGGGGGCUAGCGUUGUUCGGAUUUACUGGGCGUAAAGCGCACGUAGGCGGAUUUUUAAGUCAGGGGUGAAAUCCCGAGGCUCAACCUCGGAACUGCCUUUGAUACUGGAAGUCUCGAGUCCGGGAGAGGUGAGUGGAACUGCGAGUGUAGAGGUGAAAGUCGUAGAUAUUCGCAAGAACACCAGUGGCGAAGGCGGCUCACUGGCCCGGUACUGACGCUGAGGUGCGAAAGCGUGGGGAGCAAACAGGAUUAGAUACCCCAGUAGUC